CUGCCGGCGACCGGCGCACGGGUGAGUAACACGUAUGGAACCUGCCCGCAGCAGGGGGAUAAGCGGAAGAAAUUCCGUCUAAUACCGCGUAACAACGUUGGGAGGCAUCUCCCGAUGUUUAAAGAUUUAUCGGCUGCGGAUGGCCAUGCGGCGCAUUAGCUAGUCGGCGGGGUAACGGCCCACCGAGGCGACGAUGCGUAGGGGUUCUGAGAGGAAGGUCCCCCACACUGGUACUGAGACACGGACCAGACUCCUACGGAAGGCAGCAG
rnacentral:rRNA from 1 species